rnacentral:rRNA from 1 species
GACGAACGCUGGCGGCGUGCUUAACACAUGCAAGUCGAACGGAAAGGCCCUGCUUUUGUGGGGUGCUCGAGUGGCGAACGGGUGAGUAACACGUGAGUAACCUGCCCUUGACUUUGGGAUAACUUCAGGAAACUGGGGCUAAUACCGGAUAGGAGCUCCUGCUGCACGGUGGGGGUUGGAAAGUUUCGGCGGUUGGGGAUGGACUCGCGGCUUAUCAGCUUGUUGGUGGGGUAGUGGCUUACCAAGGCUUUGACGGGUAGGCGGCCUGAGAGGGUGACCGGCCACAUUGGGACUGAGAUACGGCCCAGAAGCCUACGGGAGGCAGCAGUGGGGAAUAUUGCACAAUGGGCGGAAGCCUGAUGCAGCAACGCCGCGUGCGGGAUGACGGCCUUCGGGUUGUAAACCGCUUUCGCCUGUGACGAAGCGUGAGUGACGGUAAUGGGUAAAGAAGCACCGGCUAACUACGUG